GAAUCUUGCGCAAUGGUCGAAAGACUGACGCAGCGACGCCGCGUGCGGGAGGAAGCCCUUCGGGGUGUAAACCGCUGUUACUCGGGACGAACUUCUCGAUUCAUCGAGAUUGACGGUACCGGGGGAGGAAGCACCGGCUAACUCUGUGCCAGCCGCCGCGGUAAUACAGAGGGUGCGAGCGUUGUCCGGAAUCACUGGGCGUAAAGGGCGCGUAGGCGGCUUCUCAAGCGUGCGGUGAAAGCUCGGGGCUUAACUCCGAGUCUGCCGUGCGAACUGGGAGGCUUGAGUCUGGUAGAGGUCGAUGGAAUUCCGGGUGUAGCGGUGGAAUGCGUAGAGAUCCGGAAGAACACCGGUGGCGAAGGCGGUCGACUGGGCCAGAACUGACGCUGAGGCGCGACAGCGUGGGGAGCAAACAG
rnacentral:rRNA from 1 species